rnacentral:rRNA from 1 species
AGGGUUCGAUUCUGGCUCAGGAUGAACGCUAGCUACAGGCUUAACACAUGCAAGUCGAGGGGCAUCAGAUCGAAAGCUUGCUUUGAUGCUGGCGACCGGCGCACGGGUGAGUAACGCGUAUCCAACCUUCCCUAUAGUAGAGAAUAGCCCGGCGAAAGUCGGAUUAAUGCUCUAUGUUGUAUUUAGAAGACAUCUGAAGAAUACCAAAGGUUCACCGCUAUAGGAUGGGGAUGCGUCUGAUUAGGUAGUAGGCGGGUAACGGCCCACCUAGCCGACGAUCAGUAGGGGUUCUGAGAGGAAGGUCCCCCACAUUGGAACUGAGACACGGUCCAAACUCCUACGGGAGGCAGCAGUGAGGAAUAUUGGUCAAUGGACGGAAGUCUGAACCAGCCAAGUAAGCGUGCAGGAUGACGGCCCUAUGGGUUGUAAACUGCUUUUAUAUAGGGAUAAAGUCGGGGACGUGUCCCCGUUUGUAGGUACUAUAUGAAUAAGGACCGGCUAAUUCCGUGCCAGCCGCCGC